rnacentral:rRNA from 1 species
GACGAACGCUGGCGGCGUGCCUAAUACAUGCAAGUAGAACGCUGAAGGAGGAGCUUGCUUCUCUGGAUGAGUUGCGAACGGGUGAGUAACGCGUAGGUAACCUGCCUGGUAGCGGGGGAUAACUAUUGGAAACGAUAGCUAAUACCGCAUAACAGUAGAUAUCGCAUGAUAUCUACUUGAAAGGUGCAAUUGCAUCACUACCAGAUGGACCUGCGUUGUAUUAGCUAGUUGGUGAGGUAACGGCUCACCAAGGCGACGAUACAUAGCCGACCUGAGAGGGGGAUCGGCCACACUGGGACUGAGACACGGCCCAGACUCCUACGGGAGGCAGCAGUAGGGCAUCUUCGGCAAUGGACGGAAGUCUGACCGAGCAACGCCGCGGGAGUGAAGAAGGUUUUCGGAUCGUAAAGCUCUGUUGUAAGAGAAGAACGAGUGUGAGAGUGGAAAGUUCACACUGUGACGGUAUCUUACCAGAAAGGGACGGCUAACUACGUG